GACGAACGCUGGCGGCGUGCCUAACACAUGCAAGUCGAACGGAAAGGCCCUGCUUUUGUGGGGUGCUCGAGUGGCGAACGGGUGAGUAUCACGUGAGUAACCUGCCCUUGACUUUGGGAUAACUUCAGGAAACUGGGGUUAAUACCGGAUAGGAGCCCCUGCUCCAUGGUGGGGGUUGGAAAGUUUCGGCGGUUGGGGAUGGACUGGCGGCUUAUCAGCUUGUUGGUGGGGUAGUGGCUUACCAAGGCUUUGACGGGUAGCCGGCCUGAGAGGGUGAACGGCCACAUUGGGACUGAGAGACGGACCAGACUGCUACGGGAGGCAGCAGUGGGGAAUAUUGCACAGUGGGCGGGAGCCUGAGAAAAAGGCGCCGCGUGCGGGAUGACGGCCUUCGGGUUGUGAACCGCUUUCGGCUGUGACGAAGCGUGAGUGACGGUAAUGGGUAAAGAAGCACCGGCUAACUACGUG
rnacentral:rRNA from 1 species